GCCCGAUUAGCUCAGUUGGUAGAGCAUCUGACCUGCAAGCAGAAGGUCGCAGGUUCGAGUCCUGUAUCGGGCU
rnacentral:tRNA from 1 species